ensembl:piRNA 21ur-11370 ncRNA
UUUAUAAUAGGGUUUAAGAUU